rnacentral:rRNA from 1 species
CUAGUAGGACGGGAGGAGGUCGACCGUACUCCGAGGGUAGGCGGUAAAAUCCCUUGAUCGAGGAAGAGCAGCAGUGCGAAGGCUGUCCGCCAGUACGCGCUCGACUGUGAGGGAUGAAAGCUGGGGGAGCGAUCCGGAUUAGAUACCCGGGUAGUCCCAGCAGUAAACGAUGCGAGCUAGGUGACACGACGCCUUCGCGGCAUCGUGGUGUCAGCAGGGAAGCCGUUAAGCUCGCCGCCUGGGGAGUACGGACGCAAGUCUGAAACUUAAAGGAAUUGGCGGGGGAGCACCACAAGGGGUGAAGCCUGCGGUUCAAUUGGAGUCAACGCCGGGAACCUUACCGGGAGCGACAGCAGAUUGAAGGUCAAGCUGAAGACUUUACCAGACGAGCUGAGAGGAGGCGCAUGGCCGUCGCCAGCUCGUGCCGUGAGGCGUCCUGUUAAGUCAGGCAACGAGUGAGACCCCUACUUCUAAUUGCUAUCAGGGGCCGCAAGACCUUUGAGGCUAGUUAGAAGGACUGCCGCCGCUAAGGCGGAGGAAGGAAGGGGCCACGGCAGGUCAGUAUGCCCCGAAACUCCCGGGCCACACGCGGGCUGCAAUGGUAAGGACAAUGGGUCCCAACCUCGAAAGAGUGAGGCAAUCCCCAAACUUUACCCCAGUUGUGACUGAGGGCUGCAACCCGCCCUCACGAAUCUGGAAUCCCUAGUAACCGCGUGUCACCAUCGCGCGGUGAAUACGUUCCUAAUCCUUGUACUCACCCCCGUC